CGCGAAGAACCUUACCAGGUCUUGACAUCCUUCGCUACUUCUAGAGAUAGAAGGUUCCCCUUCGGGGGACGAAGUGACAGGUGGUGCAUGGUUGUCGUCAGCUCGUGUCGUGAGAUGUUGGGUUAAGUCCCGCAACGAGCGCAACCCUUGAUCUUAGUUGCCAGCAUUCAGUUGGGCACUCUAAGGUGACUGCCGGUGACAAACCGGAGGAAGGUGGGGAUGACGUCAAAUCAUCAUGCCCCUUAUGACCUGGGCUACACACGUGCUACAAUGGAUGGUACAAAGGGCUGCAAGACUGCGAAGUCAAGCSAAUCCCAUAAAACCAWUSUCAGUUCGGAUUGCAGGCUGCAACUCGCCUGCAUGAAGCCGGAAUCGC
rnacentral:rRNA from 2 species